UUCAGCUGAGGUGUACAUCUGAUGCCUUCACCCUAAUGUGACAAGCUGCCAGUAUGAAUUUGCACUGAUAAGUCGAAACAGUCACAGCCAUGUUUUAUCAUUCCUCCUCAUCUUUUGUUCAAAGCAGCUGUUGCUUCAUUCAAAAAACUAAUUUUGCUUUUUUGAUUCCUUAUAUUCUGUGAGACAAGAUUUCGGGGUUACAGUUUCAAUGACUGACACGGGAAUAGAACUAAAGGAAAGACUUGAUUAUUCUGAGAAUAGGCAAUUAAAAUAAAUCAACAAGCCAUAGGAAGAGGGAGAUUAUUUGUUUCUUUCUAAAUGCAUUGGUUUCAAGCAAGUAGUGAUUUACAAAAACCCCGACCAGCAGCACAGAAGUUCAGGGCCCCAGCAAAUACCAAAAAAAAAAAGUCUUUAAGGCAUUUAUUGAAUAUCUCUUUUGUCAGUGGGGCCUGAAUUUCCAACAUGAAAAGUAAGUUAUUUUGAGUCUCGAAUUGAAAGAGAAUGAAAAAGCACUUUGUUCCUCAUUGUAUCAACCCCACUGAGAGAUAAAGAAAAAUCAAAAAGCAAGAGGAUGAAGAAAGAAGUUUUUCCUAACGGGGGCAAACACCAUGCAGUUUUUCAAGGUGAUCUGCAGGAACCAACAUUGUGCAAAAAAAUAAAAAUAACAGAAGCCAAUGCUGGCUAUAUCCUGUGCACCUACAAAGGCAUGGUUUGAAAUCCCCAGCUACAUAUUAACAGAGGAACUAGGUGAAUGCUCUAAAGUCAUUGGAAACUGGUUUUCAGUUAUCACACUCCUCUUUAAUUUAAAUUGUUCAAUUUAUACCCAAAGCUUCCAGCUAUGAAGAUAAAUUCAACUUUUUUUUCUCUUUCAGUCAUUUGCUGGGCUCCCCUUGGUGGAUUCUGUUCAUCAUUAUUUUAGGCAGCUCUGUCAUACAUAUUGUAUGUAGCAGUUCUUUAUCAGUGGCUAUGAGAGAACCGCAUUUGUUUUUUAUGAGCUAUCUGGCAACCCAUGGCUUCCAAAGAAUAUUGCCAUUAGCAUAUUCAGGAAUAACAGGAGUGCUACAUUCACUUUGCUCUCAGUUCCAUUCUGUUGUUCUCUCUAGAUAAAAGACUGUUACUCGGAAAAUUAUUUCAUACCGUUUCAAACUGACAGCUUUAUUUACAAUGCUUUCUAUUCUUGCCUUGAUGAAAUCCUAUUUGAUAUAUUUUAUAUAAAUACUUGAUAAUAUGCCUCUUGGAUUGAUUAAUCAAGCUUUAAAGGGAACGAUGAUUUUAAAAUUAAUUUUAGCAAGAUGUAGAAAAUAUUAUUCCCAGAAAAGUGGCAGAUGCUCUUCUUUGAAUUUUAAUUAUUUGUCCCUGUCAUUCCUAGGCAGAGCAUGCAUUACAUAUAAGUUCAGGAGGGUCUAGCAUAAAAUUGAAUAAAAUGGAUUUCAUUGCUUAUAUUCACACACUCUUUACAGCUCUCAAGCAGUUCAUGAAAUUAUAAACUGUCUUAUUGCUGGACAACAAAUACUUCACUUAACACCACACACAGCUCCUUUGUAGAGACACUUGCAAUUCAAUGAGAAAAAAAACAUUUCUUGCUGAAUAUCACAUAACAACUAUACUGAAGUCUAUGGGGAAAAAAAACUGAUAAUGAAUUAGUAGAAAAGUUUUUCCUUUUCACCCACACAUUUUCAUGUGAUAAACUUGUGUAACUAUGGCCCAGAAAUGCCUAAUGCAAAUUUCAUCUGAUUGUCAAAUACAGUGCCCUACUUUAGAUAUAUUAAAUUAUUGAGGAUAAUAUGCAGUUGCAGUCAGGACCAGAUAUGUUUCACAUAUGAAUGUUCCUGGUCAGCCAACAAAUCCAGAGAGAUAGGCAUGGCAACUGUCAACUGUGUUGCGCUGCCUUUUAUUAUCAGUUAUGUAGGA